rnacentral:rRNA from 1 species
AACGCUGGCGGCAGGCUUAACACAUGCAAGUCGAGCGGGCGUAGCAAUACGUCAGCGGCAGACGGGUGAGUAACGCGUGGGAACGUACCUUUUGGUUCGGAACAACACAGGGAAACUUGUGCUAAUACCGGAUAAGCCCUUACGGGGAAAGAUUUAUCGCCGAAAGAUCGGCCCGCGUCUGAUUAGCUAGUUGGUGAGGUAACGGCUCACCAAGGCGACGAUCAGUAGCUGGUCUGAGAGGAUGAUCAGCCACAUUGGGACUGAGACACGGCCCAAACUCCUACGGGAGGCAGCAGUGGGGAAUAUUGGACAAUGGGCGCAAGCCUGAUCCAGCCAUGCCGCGUGAGUGAUGAAGGCCCUAGGGUUGUAAAGCUCUUUUGUGCGGGAAGAUAAUGACGGUACCGCAAGAAUAAGCCCCGGCUAACUUCGUGCCAGCAGCCGCGGUAAUACGAAGGGGGCUAGCGUUGCUCGGAAUCACUGGGCGUAAAGGGUGCGUAGGCGGGUCUUUAAGUCAGGGGUGAAAUCCUGGAGCUCAACUCCAGAACUGCCUUUGAUACUGAAGAUCUUGAGUUCGGGAGAGGUGAGUGGAACUGCGAGUGUAGAGGUGAAAUUCGUAGA